GACGAACGCUGGCGGCGUGCUUAACACAUGCAAGUCGAACGGAAAGGCCCUGCUUUUGUGGGGUGCUCGAGUGGCGAACGGGUGAGUAACACGUGAGUAACCUGCCCUUGACUUUGGGAUAACUUCAGGAAACUGGGGCUAAUACCGGAUAGGAGCUCCUGCUGCAUGGUGGGGGUUGGAAAGUUUCGGCGGUUGGGGAUGGACUCGCGGCUUAUCAGCUUGUUGGAGGGGUAGUGGCUUACCAAGGCUUUGACGGGUAGCCGGGCUGAGAGGGUGACCGGCCACAUUGGGACUGAGAUACGGCCCAGACUCCUACGGGAGGCAGCAGUGGGGAAUAUUGCACAAUGGGCGGAAGCCUGAUGCAGCAACGCCGCGUGCGGGAUGACGGCCUUCGGGUUGUAAUCCGCUUUCGCCUGUGACGAAGCGUGAGUGACGGUAAUGGGUAAAGAAGCACCGGCUAACUCCGUG
rnacentral:rRNA from 1 species